rfam:Lasius niger Lnig_2.1_18518, whole genome shotgun sequence.
AUCUGAAUAGCUCAGUGGUAAGAGCAGUCGUCCGGCAAGCGAAAAACUCGGGUUCGUUUCUCGAUUCAGCGA